GACAGUGUUGUACUCUGUGUCUUACCUCCUAGAAUGAUGAAUUUGUUAUUAAGGAGAAUCUCUUCUUGGACCACAAGCAUUCCCUGAAAUAUAAUCCUGCAAUGUGGACACUGGAGAUUAUAUUGUGGAAAGUUUCCUGAUUCAGCUGCCGGUCACACUUGUCAGAGAGGAAGUCUAAAGCAGGAGAAGCAGACUAGCAAGUGGAUUACUAGGUCUUGGACCUUACCUGGUCUUCUGCUGCCACAGGUGGAAAAGAAAAAUUCAGAAGAGAGAAGGUUUUGUCUACUUUCUAUGACUGAAAGGAGCACUUACAAAGGGAUGCAAAAAUAAUCUAAGCAUUUGUUUAAAUACCUUACACAUAUACCUGACAAUAUUCAUAGCACACUUGUGUGCAAGGUCAGUACUAAGCAAAGGGAGAAGAGGUGAUGGAAUCUGAGGAAAAUGACACCAAAGCCCUCCCACCAGAUGCACUGACAUAUAAGCAACUUCUCUGGGUGAAGACCCUGAAGCCCUGAGUUUAACUAUGUUUUGUAUGAAGGAUGGUCAAGCCCUCAUAUGAUUACCACUAAUUAACAACUUGGUUCAUUACACUAGCAUGUUACCUAUUUGGACCCUCAGGGAAUAAUCAGAGAAUUGAAUGUAUUUAGAUUUCAAGAAACUGGCAAGUCAAGAACACGGGGUGCUACAGAAAGAGAAGUCCCACCUUGGUGUCACAGUGGGAUAAGGAUUUCUGGGCAACCAGAAGAUCGCAUGAGGACCUUGGAUCUUCUACCGGGUGGAUACCCGGUAUUGGAAGUGCUAAAGUAAUGGAUAGGAAUUUGAGCUGAAAGGAAACCUUUCUUAUUUUAGGAUUUGGUUAUGCUUGAGUAGAGGCUGUAAGCCUGGGACAUUUGGGUUGUCCACCCAUACUGUUGGUUGGCUGUUCUCAAAGUUGA
rnacentral:lncRNA from 1 species